ACUAUGGCCACAGUGCCCUGAGGGUGCCCAAUCUCAUCUCAGAAGCUAAGCAGGGCCUGGCCUCAUUAGUACUUGUAUGGAACAAGGAAAGGGGAAGAGAGAGCAGCCUAUAGUU
rnacentral:rRNA from 10 species